GAGGAAUAUUGGACAAUGGGCGCAAGCCUGAUCCAGCCAUGCCGCGUGCAGGAUGACGGUCCUAUGGAUUGUAAACUGCUUUUGUACAGGAAGAAACACUGGUUCGUGAACCAGCUUGACGGUACUGUAAGAAUAAGGAUCGGCUAACUCCGUGCCAGCAGCCGCGGUAAUACGGAGGAUCCAAGCGUUAUCCGGAAUCAUUGGGUUUAAAGGGUCCGUAGGCGGUUUGGUAAGUCAGUGGUGAAAGCCCAUCGCUCAACGGUGGAACGGCCAUUGAUACUGCCAGACUUGAAUUACUGGGAAGUAACUAGAAUAUGUAGUGUAGCGGUGAAAUGCUUAGAGAUUACAUGGAAUACCAAUUGCGAAGGCAGGUUACUACCAGUGGAUUGACGCUGAUGGACGAAAGCGUGGGUAGCGAAC
rnacentral:rRNA from 1 species